rnacentral:tmRNA from 1 species
GGGGCUGACAUGGCUUCGACGUGGGUUGCGAAGCAGAGCAGUGCAUGCCGAGGACCAGUGACCUCGUAAAUCCAUCUGGAAAACCACAAACGCCAACGACGAGCGUUUCGCUCUCGCAGCUUAAACCCUGCGGGCGCUGCACCGGACUGCUCACGGGCCGGGCCGGGUAACACCGACAGCAGUGUCAUUUACGUGAGAUAAGGAUGUGCCCCGCCGCGUGGUACGUCUCGAAAAUCCAGCGGAUCGCAAACGUUCAGCCUGCCCGGCGGCGGGACGUGAGUUAAAUCAAAUGACGAGGCUAAGCAUGUAGUACUGCCUGUAGAGGACUUGCGGACGCGGGUUCAAUUCCCGCCAGCUCCACC